rnacentral:rRNA from 1 species
GACGAACGCUGGCGGCGUGCCUAACACAUGCAAGUCGAGCGAGUGAAUCUCCUUCGGGAGUGAAGCUAGCGGCGGACGGGUGAGUAACACGUGGGCAACUUGCCUCAUGGAGGGGAAUAGCCUUUCGAAAGGAAGAUUAAUACCGCAUAAGAUUGUAGCUUCGCAUGAAGUAGCAAUUAAAGGAGCAAUCCGCUAUGAGAUGGGCCCGCGGCGCAUUAGCUAGUUGGUGAGGUAACGGCUCACCAAGGCGACGAUGCGUAGCCGACCUGAGAGGGUGAUCGGCCACAUUGGGACUGAGACACGGCCCAGACUCCUACGGGAGGCAGCAGUGGGGAAUAUUGCACAAUGGGGGAAACCCUGAUGCAGCAACGCCGCGUGAGUGAUGACGGCCUUCGGGUUGUAAAGCUCUGUCUUCAGGGACGAUAAUGACGGUACCUGAGGAGGAAGCCACGGCUAACUACGUGCCAGCAGCCGCGGUAAAAC